UGGAUGGUAUGCAGCUGGCUGACAGAACUACAGAAUCCUGGACAGGGCAGUGCUGCCAGAAGCCAGGAAGAAUGAGAAGGAGCCCUGAGCUGGUUGCUGGGACUCCAUUUUGACAUGGCCCUGAGAGUGGAAUACUUCCCCAAGGCAGCUGCCAAUGCUGUCACCUUCUGUGGGAUUUGUGGAGGGGGAGAGUAAAGUGCUAAACAUGACCAGCCGUGGCUCCCCUUUAUCUGGAAUUCAAGGAAGAGGAAUUAUGGUGACCCUUUGGUAGCAUCUCUAAGCCUGGGCAGCAGAGUCAUAGCUAAAACAGCAAGACUGCUGGAGCUCCAUUACCAUAGGUGACUACUGUACUACAUAUUAGUGCUAUACGGUGUGGCAGUGAAUAGUGUUUUCCAAGAAGGCCAUCGGUCAGGAUUUUGCCAAUGCACUUUUGAAAAACCAUUAACUGUAUCUCACAAUUGUCUACUCUGCUAUAGUUUGGAAAAAGAUUGUAGAGCUGACUGUGUACUUAAAUUUUUAAGUUUAUUGAAUCCUCAAAAUCAACAUUGUCACCUCCUUUAGGAAAAAUAACAUUAUUAUUCAGAUAUCACUAGGACCACUCAUGGUAAUAAACACUAUGUUUAUGAAACACACU